GCGUGCUUAACACAUGCAAGUCGAGCGGAAAGGCCCUUUCGGGGGUACUCGAGCGGCGAACGGGUGAGUAACACGUGAGUAAUCUGCCUUGCACUCUGGGAUAGCCUUGGGAAACUGAGAUUAAUACCGGAUAUGACAUGUGCCUGCAUGGGUGUGUGUGGAAAGUUUUUUCGGUGCAAGAUGUGCUCGCGGCCUAUCAGCUUGUUGGUGAGGUAAUGGCUCACCAAGGCUUCGACGGGUAGCCGGCCUGAGAGGGUGACCGGCCACACUGGGACUGAGACACGGCCCAGACUCCUACGGGAGGCAGCAGUGGGGAAUAUUCGACAAUGGGCGGAAGCGUGACGCAGCAACGCCGCGUGGGGGAAGAAGGCCUUCGGGUUGUAAACCCCUUUCAGGAGGGACGAAGGUCGGGCGGUGAAUAGCCGACCCGACUGACGGUACCUCCACAAGAAGCCCCGGCUAACUACGUGCCAGCAGCCGCGGUAAUACGUAGGGGGCAAGCGUUGUCCGGAAUUAUUGGGCGUAAAGAGCUCGUAGGCGGUCUGUCGCGUCGAUCGUGAAAACUUGGGGCUUAACCCUGAGCUUGCGGUCGAUACGGGCAUGACUGGAGUUCGGCAGGGGAGACUGGAAUUCCUGGUGUAGCGGUGAAAUGCGCAGAUAUCAGGAGGAACACCGGUGGCGAAGGCGGGUCUCUGGGCCGAUACUGACGCUGAGGAGCGAAAGCGUGGGGAGCGAACAGGAUUAGAUACCCUGGUAGUCCACGCCGUAAACGUUGGGCACUAGGUGUGGGUCUCAACCAACGAGAUCCGCGCCGUCGCUAACGCAUUAAGUGCCCCGCCUGGGGAGUACGGUCGCAAGACUAAAACUCAAAUGAAUUGACGG
rnacentral:rRNA from 1 species